rnacentral:rRNA from 1 species
UGGGGAAUAUUGCACAAUGGAGGGAACUCUGAUGCAGCGACGCCGCGUGAACGAAGAAGGCUUUCGAGUCGUAAAGUUCUUUUAUAUGGGAAGAUAAUGACGGUACCAUAAGAAGAAGCCCCGGCUAACUACGUGCCAGCAGCCGCGGUAAUACGUAGGGGGCUAGCGUUGUCCGGAAUCACUGGGCGUAAAGGGUUCGCAGGCGGAAAUGCAAGUCAGGUGUAAAAGGCAGUAGCUUAACUACUGUAAGCAUUUGAAACUGCAUAUCUUGAGAAGAGUAGAGGUAAGUGGAAUUUUUAGUGUAGCGGUGAAAUGCGUAGAUAUUAAAAAGAAUACCGGUGGCGAAGGCGACUUACUGGGCUCAUUCUGACGCUGUGGAACGAAAGCGUGGGUAGCAAACAGG